rnacentral:rRNA from 1 species
UGGGGAAUUUUCCGCAAUGGGCGAAAGCCUGACGGAGCAAUACCGCGUGAGGGAGGAAGGCUCUUGGGUUGUAAACCUCUUUUCUUAAGGAAGAAUACAAUGACGGUACUUAAGGAAUAAGCAUCGGCUAACUCCGUGCCAGCAGCCGCGGUAAUACGGAGGAUGCAAGCGUUAUCCGGAAUAAUUGGGCGUAAAGCGUCCGCAGGUGGUUUUGUAAGUCUGCUGUUAAAGCGUGAGGCUUAACCUCAUAACGGCGGUGGAAACUACAAGACUUGAGUGCGUUCGGGGCAGAGGGAAUUCCUGGUGUAGCGGUGAAAUGCGUAGAUAUCAGGAAGAACACCGGUGGCGAAAGCGCUCUGCUAGGCCGUAACUAACACUGAGGGACGAAAGCUAGGGGAGCGAAUGGG